rnacentral:rRNA from 1 species
UACGUAGGGUGCAAGCGUUGUCCGGAAUUAUUGGGCGUAAAGAGCGUGUAGGCGGCCCGAUUAGUCCGCUGUGAAAAGUCCAGGGCUCAACCCUGGAAUGCCGGUGGAUACUGUCGGGCUAGAGUCCGGAAGGGGCGAGUGGAAUUCCUGGUGUAGCGGUGGAAUGCGUAGAGAUCCGGAAGAACACCGGUGGCGAAGGCGGUGAGCUGGGCAGUUGCUGACACUGAGGCGCGACAGCGUGGGGAGCAAACAGG